ensembl:ncRNA lncRNA:CR46120 long non-coding RNA:CR46120
CCAUUGAGACAGACUGACAAAGCUGGAAUCUAGCACUUGAAGCGACGAGUGGCAAACGUUUUCCCGUUUACUAUUUUCCAUUUUCCGAUACCAAAGUGGCAAAAGCCUGAAAGCGAGGACGGUGGCUGGUUACUUUUCAUUUCGACAACUCCUUCAGCUUGUCCUGCUCAUUAGCAAUUGCCCGGCAUGGCAGCCAAACAGCUGUCCCUGUUAGCCAGUUUUCACCUAAUUAAGCAAACAAAAAGCAAACGUGUGGGAAACUGGUCGGGGAGAUAACUUUCCCCGCCCCAGAAAACACACGCCCAUGUCCCCGAAUAUAUCCCACAGGCUAAUGCUAAUUGCCACGAACAUGGGGCUAAGUAGCCAAUGGAAUGCAGCCGAAAACAUUUGUCUCUAAUUGCGGUUCAGCCCAAUUGGGCAGGCGAAAUUAAAUUAAAUGCAGCCGAAAACAAACAAGCGAGGCAGCCAACCCCGAGAUGCCCAGGAGAAGCUGAGAAGAUUCCACGGCGGCCACAACAAUUUGUGCAAAAAUACAAAUUGGAACAUUUGCGGAGGCGCAGGCGUGUAGUAGGCAAUACUGUGAGAAUUUAUGGCCCUGCUCUGGGGUCACUACCGGGAUAACAUCUGGAUGGCUAGCUUGCUGGCUGGCAAGGCCCAACUCGGAGGAACUGGAGGAACUAGAGGAGCUGACGCGUCGUGCGCAAUGCGCAUGCUUACCUAGCCGCUUUCAAACAAAACUGAAAACCGAAACGGGUAAGGACAUUGACCGGGAACGAUGCAAACUCUAGGCAGACAGCCGAUUGCGGCAGUCGGCGGAGGAGGAAAGCCAUUUAAAAUUAGUGAAAUGGUUCAGUACCGUUGAAGACCGGCGGAAAAACAAUUAAUAAUUGCAAUAUAUCUCUGGAAUCUUGGGCAUUUGCAGUUACCACAGGGGUCACUUCACUUCACUUCUUUCCAGUUGCAGAACUUUGAUUGCCUGCGCCAAAUUCUAGCCC